GUGAACGCUGGCGGUAGGCCUAACACAUGCCAGUCGAACGGCAGCACAGUAAGAGCUUGCUCUUACGGGUGGCGAGUGGCGGACGGGUGAGGAAUACAUCGGAAUCUACUUUUUCGUGGGGGAUAACGUAGGGAAACUUACGCUAAUACCGCAUACGACCUACGGGUGAAAGCAGGGGAUCUUCGGACCUUGCGCGAUUGAAUGAGCCGAUGUCGGAUUAGCUAGUUGGCGGGGUAAAGGCCCACCAAGGCGACGAUCCGUAGCUGGUCUGAGAGGAUGAUCAGCCACACUGGAACUGAGACACGGUCCAGACUCCUACGGGAGGCAGCAGUGGGGAAUAUUGGGCAAUGGGCGCAAGCCUGAUCCAGCCAUACCGCGUGGGUGAAGAAGGCCUUCGGGUUGUAAAGCCCUUUUGUUGGGAAAGAAAAGCAGCAGGUUAAUACCCCGCUGUUCUGACGGUACCCAAAGAAUAAGCACCGGCUAACUUCGUG
rnacentral:rRNA from 1 species